GAUGAACGCUGGCGGCGUGCUUAACACAUGCAAGUCGAACGGGAAACCUUUUAUUGAAGCUUCGGCAGAUUUAGCUGGUUUCUAGUGGCGGACGGGUGAGUAACGCGUGGGUAACCUGCCUUAUACAGGGGGAUAACAACCAGAAAUGGUUGCUAAUACCGCAUAAGCGCACAGGACCGCAUGGUCCGGUGUGAAAAACUCCGGUGGUAUAAGAUGGACCCGCGUUGGAUUAGCUAGUUGGCAGGGUAACGGCCUACCAAGGCGACGAUCCAUAGCCGGCCUGAGAGGGUGAACGGCCACAUUGGGACUGAGACACGGCCCAGACUCCUACGGGAGGCAGCAGUGGGGAAUAUUGCACAAUGGGGGAAACCCUGAUGCAGCGACGCCGCGUGAAGGAAGAAGUAUCUCGGUAUGUAAACUUCUAUCAGCAGGGAAGAUAGUGACGGUACCUGACGAAGAAGCCCCGGCUAACUACGUG
rnacentral:rRNA from 1 species